AUGAGACAAAAGAUAUUCUUUCUAAAGAUAUUCGAUUCGGAACUCUUAUUUGUCCAAGGUCAAUAUGGAAAUUCUUUCAGAGGUUUUCCAUUACUUUGUCCGUGUCAACAAACAAUUCAAAAUACUGCUUGA
rnacentral:rRNA from 1 species